rnacentral:rRNA from 1 species
UACGUAGGGUGCAAGCGUUAAUCGGAAUUACUGGGCGUAAAGCGCGCGCAGGCGGUUCGGUAAGUCCGAUGUGAAAUCCCCGGGCUCAACCUGGGAAUUGCAUUUGAGACUGCACGGCUAGAGUGUGUCAGAGGGGGGUAGAAUUCCACGUGUAGCAGUGAAAUGCGUAGAGAUGUGGAGGAAUACCGAUGGCGAAGGCAGCCCCCUGGGAUAACACUGACGCUCAUGCACGAAAGCGUGGGGAGCAAACAGG